rnacentral:rRNA from 1 species
GACGAACGCUGGCGGCGUGCUUAACACAUGCAAGUCGAACGGAAAGGCCCUGCUUGCAGGGUACUCGAGUGGCGAACGGGUGAGUAACACGUGGGUGAUCUGCCCUGCACUUCGGGAUAAGCCUGGGAAACUGGGCCUAAUACCGGAUAGGAGCCAUUUUUAGUGUGAUGGUUGGAAAGUUUUUUCGGUGUAGGAUGAGCUCGCGGCCUAUCAGCUUGUUGGUGGGGUAAUGGCCUACCAAGGCGGCGACGGGUAGCCGGCCUGAGAGGGUGGACGGCCACAUUGGGACUGAGGUGCGGCCCCGACUCCUACGGGAGGCAGCAGUGGGGAAUAUUGCACAAUGGGCGCAAGCCUGAUGCAGCGACGCCGCGUGGGGGAUGACGGCCUUCGGGUUGUAAACUCCUUUCGCUAGGGACGAAGCUUUUUGUGACGGUACCUAGAUAAGAAGCACCGGCUAACUACGUG